AACGAACGCUGGCGGCAGGCCUAACACAUGCAAGUCGAACGAAGCCUUCGGGCUUAGCGGCGGACGGGUGAGUAACGCGUGGGAACGUGCCCUCUGGUACGGAAUAGCCCCGGGAAACUGGGAGUAAUACCGUAUGUGGUCGAGAGACGAAAGAUUUAUCGCCAAAGGAUCGGCCCGCGUUGGAUUAGGUAGUUGGUGGGGUAAUGGCCUACCAAGCCGACGAUCCAUAGCUGGUUUGAGAGGAUGAUCAGCCACACUGGGACUGAGACACGGCCCAGACUCCUACGGGAGGCAGCAGUGAGGAAGCUUAGACAAUGGGGGAAACUCUGAUCUAGCCAUGCCGCGUGAUCGAUGAAGGCCUUAGGGUUGUAAAGAUCUUUCAGUGGGGAAGAUAAUGACUGUACCCACAGAAGAAGCCCCGGCUAACUCCGUGCCAGCUGCCGCCGUAA
rnacentral:rRNA from 1 species